rnacentral:tRNA from 1 species
GCCCUCGUAGCUCAAUUGGACAGAGCGUGCGCCUCCUAAGCGUAAGGUUGUGGAUUCGAUUUCCGCCGAGGGCGCCA